GACGAACGCUGGCGGCGUGCUUAACACAUGCGAGUCGAACGGAAAGGCCCUGCUUUUGUGGGGUGCUCGAGUGGCGAACGGGUGUGUAACACGUGAGUAACCUGCCCUUGACUUUGGGAUAACUUCAGGAAACUGGGGCUAAUACCGGAUAGGAGCUCCUGCUGCAUGGUGGGGGUUGGAAAGUUUCGGCGGUUGGGGAUGGACUCGCGGCUUAUCAGCUUGUUGGUGGGGUAGUGGCUUACCAAGGCUUUGACGGGUAGCCGGCCUGAGAGGGUGACCGGCCACAUUGGGACUGAGAUAAGGCGCAGACUCCUACGGGAGGCAGCAGUGGGGAAUAUUGCACAAUGGGCGGAAGCCUGAUGCAGCAACGCCGCGUGCGGGAUGACGGCCUUCGGGUUGUAAACCGCUUUCGCCUGUGACGAAGCGUGAGUGACGGUAAUGGGUAAAGAAGCACCGGCUAACUACGUG
rnacentral:rRNA from 1 species